rnacentral:lncRNA from 1 species
GCACCUAAAAUGGCUGUGUUUUAGGAAGCAGCUCACUGGCUUUUCAGUAGAUAUUAUGGGGCAGAGUUGCUUUGUAACCAAGAAAAAUUCCCUUCAAUGACUUAUAAAAUGUGAUGGCAUUUUACAAAAAGAAUAUUCUACAUGACGUGAGCUGAAAAAUUCUUGGCUAAGAGUAGUUAAUGUACACAGUGGUUAAGACCUGUGGUGUUAGAGCUGGACAGAUGUGCGUUUAAAUUCUGGAUACUCUACCUGUGGUCCUCUGUCAGGUCUUGUUAGUCCUUUGGAGACUUAGAAAAGCUGAGGAAGAACCACCUAGUUCACCCUAUCCCCCAGAUGCAGACACCAAGGCACUUUGAG